UCACAUGAAGAAAGUGAAGUGAGGAGUUUCCUGCAGUGUCUGCCUUAUAUCUCACAGCUCAGCGUUGAUGAUGAGACAUCAGAGGAAGAAAGAACGAAGUUCUUUGUGAAUCUGUUCUGUGCAGCAGCAGAGAGAGAACAGCAGACAGGAGAGAAGAUACUGGAGCUGUUAUCAUCAGUGUGCAGAUACAAACACAGUCCUUUGAAACAGAAACAGUGUGACUUCCUCAUGGACCUGUACUCUUAUGAGACUAAAACAGGCUUGAGUGUCCUUCCAUCAUUACAGUCAGUUUUCCAGUCAGCUCCUGCAGUCUGGUCCAUAAACCUCUCAGAGAGAAAGACCUCCAUCCUCCUGGAAGUGCUGAAACUCCAACCAGAGAAGAAACAA